CGUAGGUGAACCUGCGGAAGGAUCAUUGA
rnacentral:rRNA from 1 species